UACAAAGAAAAAUUCAAAACACCAAAUUGACAAUGUGCAGAACAAAUUAUAUAGCUGCAAAUCAGAUAGAUGAUGAUACAUUGGCACGCCAAUUAAUACUAACAAGGCGACAAUAAUUCCAUUGACCACAGGCUGACAACCUGAAUAUUACCUAAAUAUUUAUUUUGCUUCACCAAAUGACAAGCCUAACAGGCAUGACCACCACAGAUAAAAUUACUGCAAUGACUCAAAUUAUCUUCACCUCUUAUAAUGGUGACUAUAAAUUAGCCUAGAGAAUGGAAGUUUUGGUCUAAAAAAGAAUGAUGAAACUGUUUUCCACGAAGAUGAUACAAUGCAUUCGCAAUGAACAGCAGUGCACUCUUCAUAAUUUUUGUGUCAAGGUUCAUAAUUUUUGUGUCAAGGUUAAGUGUGGAAGUGGCCGCAACAGGUUCCAACCAAACUAAUUAGUAUUUUGCAUAGCCAAUCAAGAUAUAAAUUGAAGCAUCAUCAAAUAUAGAAAUGUAAUAGGCAUGCCCAAACAAAGGCUCUAAAAUAUGCUUAAACAGUAUACUGAAUAUAGUAGAGUUAUCCACCUAGCGAUUCUACAUUUCGCGCACACAAAA
rnacentral:lncRNA from 1 species